rnacentral:rRNA from 1 species
AGCAGCCGCGGUAAUUCCAGCUCCAAUAGCGUAUAUUAAAGUUGUUGCAGUUAAAAAGCUCGUAGUUGAAUUUCGGGGUCAGUAGGUUGGUCGUGCCACCGGUACGUACUGGUCUCACUGAUUCCUCCUUCCUGAAGAACCGUAAUGCCAUUAAUUUGGUGUUGCGGGGAAACAGGACUGUUACUUUGAAAAAAUUAGAGUGUUUAAAGCAGGCUAACGCUUGAAUACAUUAGCAUGGAAUAAUGAAAUAGGACGAUCGAUCCUAUUUUGUUGGUUUCUAGGAUUGACGUAAUGAUUAAUAGGGAUAGUUGGGGGCAUUAGUAUUCAAUUGUCAGAGGUGAAAUUCUUGGAUUUAUUGAAGACUAACUACUGCGAAAGCAUUUGCCAAGGAUGUUUUCAUUAAUCAAGAACGAAAGUUAGGGGAUCGAAGACGAUCAGAUACCGUCGUAGUCUUAACCAUAAACUAUGCCGACUAGGGAUCGGAUGAUGUUAAUUUUAUAAUGACUCAUUCGGCGCCUUA